AGAGCGAACGCUGGCGGCAGGCCUAAUACAUGCAAGUCGAACGGAUCCUUCGGGAUUAGUGGCGGACGGGUGAGUAACACGUGGGAACGUACCCUUUGGUUCGGAACAACUCAGGGAAACUUGAGCUAAUACCGAAAUGUGCCCUUCGGGGGAAAGAUUUAUCGCCAUUGGAGCGGCCCGCGUCUGAUUAGCUAGUUGGUAGGGUAAAGGCCUACCAAGGCUACGAUCAGUAGCUGGUCUGAGAGGAUGAUCAGCCACACUGGGACUGAGACACGGCCCAGACUCCUACGGGAGGCAGCAGUAGGGAAUCUUGCGCAAUGGGCGAAAAGCCUGACGCAGCCAUGCCGCGUGAAUGAUGAAGGUCUUAGGAUUGUAAAAUUCUUUCAGUCGGGGACGAUAAUGACGGUACCCGCAGAAGAAGCCCGGCUAACUUCGCGCCAGCAGCCGC
rnacentral:rRNA from 1 species